GAGACUUGGAGAGCAGAGAUACCUCCGGAGAAGCGCGUGACCUGACCCCAGCAGGAGAACCCAACCCGCUUUUCCGCCUAGGUGUCUCUCUCUCUCUCUC
rnacentral:pre_miRNA from 1 species